AACGAACGCUGGCGGCAUGCCUAACACAUGCAAGUCGAACGAGACCUUCGGGUCUAGUGGCGCACGGGUGCGUAACGCGUGGGAACCUGCCCUUAGGUUCGGAAUAACUCCCCGAAAGGGGUGCUAAUACCGGAUAAUGUCUUCGGACCAAAGAUUUAUCGCCUUUGGAUGGGCCCGCGUUGGAUUAGCUAGUUGGUAGGGUAAAAGCCUACCAAGGCGACGAUCCAUAGCUGGUCUGAGAGGAUGAUCAGCCACACUGGGACUGAGAGACGGCCCAGACUCCUACGGGAGGCAGCAGUGGGGAAUAUUGGACAAUGGGCGAAAGCCUGAUCCAGCAAUGCCGCGUGAGUGAUGAAGGCCUUAGGGUUGUAAAGCUCUUUUACCCGGGAUGAUAAUGACAGUACCGGGAGAAUAAGCUCCGGCUAACUCCGUG
rnacentral:rRNA from 1 species